AUUGAACGCUGGCGGCAUGCUUUACACAUGCAAGUCGAACGGUAACAGGCCUUCGGGUGCUGACGAGUGGCGAACGGGUGAGUAAUGCAUCGGAACGUGCCCAAUCGUGGGGGAUAACGUAGCGAAAGUUACGCUAAUACCGCAUAAGCCCUGAGGGGGAAAGUGGGGACCGCAAGGCCUCACGCGAAUGGAGCGGCCGAUGUCAGAUUAGCUAGUUGGUGGGGUAAAGGCCCACCAAGGCGACGAUCUGUAGCGGGUCUGAGAGGAUGAUCCGCCACACUGGGACUGAGACACGGCCCAGACUCCUACGGGAGGCAGCAGUGGGGAAUUUUGGACAAUGGGCGCAAGCCUGAUCCAGCCAUGCCGCGUGCGGGACGAAGGCCUCGGU
rnacentral:rRNA from 1 species